CUAUACUACUAAUAAUGUGCUUGUGUACGUAUAUCUGUCUGUCUGAAGGUGACCCCUGACUCAGAGGUAGCAGAGGGCGUACUGGAGGAUGUGGAUGAAGAAGAAGGUGUUUCGGCCCAAACACCUGGUCUUACUGUGUCAAGUCUCCGUGAUGACCUGGACUGAGUUGACUGUUGAGGAACCAGUCCUCUCUGUCCCUCACCAGCCGGGCCAGAGGGGACAGAGGACAUGCUGGAGGACGUUGGUGAUGGUGGGCGGGAAGAAGAAGAAGAAGAAGAGGACGGGGGCCAAACACUGUCCUUGAUGACCUGGGCAGAGCUGACAACAUGGCAGCUGAGGAACCAGGCCUCACCACCCAGCAGCACCAUUGGAGGGUAUUGUGAUAAAAACUGGCGACAUAUUGAACGGUCGCUAUCAUGUUCUGGACGUCUUGGGUGAAGGAUGCUUCGGCAAAGUUACCAAGUGUGAGGAUAUACACACAGAACAAGUCGUGGCCAUCAAGACCUUAAAAACUCAGGAGAGUGCAGUCACCAAC